rnacentral:rRNA from 1 species
UACGUAGGGGGCAAGCGUUGUCCGGAAUCAUUGGGCGUAAAGAGCGUGUAGGCGGCCCGAUAAGUCCGCCGUGAAAGUCCAGGGCUCAACCCUGGAAGGCCGGUGGAAACUGUCGGGCUAGAGUCCGGAAGAGGCGAGUGGAAUUCCCGGUGUAGCGGUGAAAUGCGCAGAUAUCGGGAGGAACACCAAUGGCGAAGGCAGCUCGCUGGGACGGUACUGACGCUGAGACGCGAAAGCGUGGGGAGCAAACAGG